GGGAAACUCAGCCAUGGCCAAGGCCACUGCAAAGCUGCUUUCCAAGGACUGGCAAGCUUGCGCCUCUGCAGCCACCCACAGAAGAGAGCUGGGUCUACCCCUGCCUCACAAGUGAGGAUAAAAGCAUCGGACUCUGGAGAAAUUGGCCUGUGUCAAGAAUGUUUGAAAACAUGUUGGCAAGCAAAGAGUCACAGAGGCUACAGCUCUGAAGCUUUCUGGACCCCAGGAGACGUGAAGCCAAGGCCUGGUGGUUAUGGCAGGACAGCAGGUGCCAAGGGACCUGCUGGUGAUGGCUGCAGGUCAUAUUUUCUGGACCUCUGGAUCAUUCUUACUACUCUCCUCCAGUCUCCCUCCAACUGGGAUGCAUCUGACUUGAAGCCUUUAGCCCAAAAUGAAAUACAGUGUUCUCCCUCUCCCUUGCAGUAUAGGACCCAAUCAUAUGCAAUACACAGAACACUUCUAUUUAUACAUCAAAAUAAUUUCACUUCUGUCUCUCAGCAUGAAGAGUGUGUUGGUUUAGGCACAGUUCAUUGGUAAUAGUAACUCCAAAUAGUUUUCAUCUCCUUUCAGAACUGCUGCUUUCCCCCAACUGAUUGCACUGGAUUAUUCCCGUGUCAGGAGAAGACCUUGGACCUGCUGUGUCUCCCUGCCCUUACUGCACAUCAGUACUUCCCAGCUCUACCCAUCUCUUGUAGUUGAUGACUACACACUAACAAUUACCCAGAGUCUAAAUAUCCAACCAGUAUUGCAGCCCUCUUCUUUACCUUUCACCAAGAUCUCAUUUCCUCAGCUCAUUCACACACUUGUUGGGGCAAUAUAAAAAGUCUCAGUAGUAUUAAGGUAACAAACAUUCACUGCUUCCUAUGGUACCUGUAACUUACUUUCUUCUGAUUUAUUGUUGUCAAAUCCAUGCUGGAACAUCCAUUAUUCUGUGGAUGCCUUCUGGAUGGUCUGUUUCUCUUAGCAGUUUCUUAAGACCUGAAAUCUGAUUGACUAAUUAGAAACUUUUUUUGGUGGUGUUUUUUUUUAAAAUUUUUGUCGUUUUGGGAGUUUGUUUUGGUUUUGAUACAGGUUUUUUAAUGGGAUGUGAAGAACAGCAUUUGCCAGUUUUCCAGGCUUCUGUGGUGCUACCUGUCUCCCCUAAACCAGCAGGGGCUCAGCCUGCUCAUGCUGAUAUGUUCUGGGGAAAAUGUCAUCAAGCUCAGCCAACCUACAAAUUCUAAUUCAUGGACAUCCUCAUAAUACUUCUGGCUCAUUCCCCACUACAGCUUGUGCAUUGUGGAGAAUAUAACAUGACAUAUGCCACAUCAUUAUCUUUAGGCUCUAUGCACAAUGAGUUUUCAUGACAAUUUCUCCAAACCUGUACCUGACAGCUGCAGCUGUUUUCUUUCAGUCUAAAAACAUGGAAGCAGCAAGAGCUCAUACACACAUGUACUUGUUCCUAUACUACAUCUAUAUACUAUCUUCAUGACAUAUAUCUGACCCUUGAAAACAACAUAAAUUUAUCCCAGAGAGAAAAAAAAUGCAGACUUUAAUUUCAGGUAGUCCCUCUGUAGUGAUCAAGGGUCUUAAUACUGUAGUACAUAAAGAGUUAACAAUUGUAGUAAGCUCUGGAUAAGCUUUCUGUAGGAAGAGAGUUUCUUCCUUCUCAUUUGAAUUGAAGUAUAAAUUUGUUCUACCAUGAGAUAUUUGCAGUACACCCAUGAACCAUGACAAGCUAAGGUCAUGGAAUUGUGCAAAGUUUCAUUUUCAAGGUUUGAAGGUUUGGGGAUUUUUUAAAACUAACAGAGUUGGAAUUUGUGGUCAUGGUCAAACAGUGAUAAAAUUAAGAACAGAUAAAGCCACAAAUAAAACUCUUAGAACUUGAAAGCUUGGUGUUGUUGAAGGAGGGUAAGUACUGCCCUUUAAUCAAAAGCACCAAGCGCUUGUUACGGUGAACAGAGAAGCCAAGGCUGAAAGAGGUCUGAAAUUCAAUGCAGAAGAUUGCUUUUCUAAAGCACUGCCACAGUGCAGGAGAGAGAGAAACAAAGGAAUGCAACAUUCAUUUGCCUAGAAGCGUUGUUAGAAAAAUACAUCACUUGCAAUGAGACAUGCUUUGCAAUGGCAAUACACAGGAAUAAUAUUUAAGACAGCAGUAGCUGCUAGGUGAAUAUUUAACUCAGUCAUCACCACCUGAAAAUGCUCAGGCUCAGCAGGAGUAUGACUACACCUUACUCUCCCCCAGCUUGAGCUGGACUCAGCAGCACACCUCGAUGAUAACUAAAAAGUUGGCUUUUAUCAAGAGAUAAGAAUUUAGCUCUUAGUACAGCUUUCAGAGUAAACAAUUUUCUGACAUGUGAAAGUGCUUGGAGCCUAUCCAAAAAGUUUCUGCUGAUUUUAUUAUUUUUCUUGCUUCUUGUUCACAGUGGAUUCAUAAGCUUUAUUUCAGUUGUUUCAGUUCAUCAAAUGUUUUUAAGGCUACUUUGGAGUAUUAAAAAGACACCAUAGUUUUUGGGUUUUUUUUAAACAACUGAAGAGGACGACAUUAAAGAACAUGAGUUAAACAACACUUAGAGUUAACUUUAGAGUUAAACAACACUUACCAGAGUUUCAUUUGACAAAUGCUCUAAGCACUACAGUCAGAAAGAACUUGAGCAAAAAGAAACCUUUCAUCAUAUAAAACAUUGCUGUCAUGCCACAGCCUGCUUCAUGCCCAAUGGGCUUCAGAAGAACCAACCCUUCAAACACUUCACAGUUUUAAAGUUUCAACAUCAGAAUAGAGAAGUCCUGUAAAAAAAAAAAGGAAAAAAACAAUUGCAGAAGCUCACUUGGCUCUGCAGAAUGAGAAUGUCACACUGGGGGAAACGCUACCAGACAGAAAAGAAAGUAACACUGCUGAGGACUGGGUGCCUGAUUACCCAGGAGUGACAUAAGGAAGAGCACAGGAACUGCUCUGGAUACUGCCAUUCUGAGACAAGACAGCUCCAGGGAGUACAAGAAAAUAAAGCAGGACAUGUCAGAUGUAGCAGGAGUACUGGAGACUCUUCAGAGCAAUGGAGUGAGAGAUCUUUGACUAAAUUAGAAAAUUACUGCAUCUAGCUGUGGUCAACUGGCAUUGCCCUGAAAGAUCAAGAAGAAACAUGAUAAAAUAGGCCCCAUUACAAGUCUUACUUUUAAAUGCAUCAU